UACGUAGGGUGCAAGCGUUGUCCGGAAUUAUUGGGCGUAAAGAGCUCGUAGGCGGUCUGUCGCGUCUGCUGUGAAAACUCGGGGCUUACCAGGCCCGGCUACGGGUGCGGGGCAGACUAGAGUGUGGUAGGGGAGACUGGAAUUCCUGUGUAGCGGUGAAAUGCGCAGAUAUCAGGAGGAACACCGAUGCGAAGGCAGGUCUCUGGGCCACUACUGACGUGAGAAGCGAAAGCAUGGGGAGCGAACAGG
rnacentral:rRNA from 1 species